UACUUUCUCAAUCGUUUGAUAAAGUCUC
rnacentral:piRNA from 1 species